rnacentral:rRNA from 1 species
CAGUCUGAUGGAGCACGCCGCGUGAGUGAGAAGGCUUUCGGGUCGUAAAACUCUGUUGUUGGAGAAGAAUGGUCGGCAGAGUAACUGUUGUCGGCGUGACGGUAUCCAACCAGAAAGCCACGGCUAACUACGUGCCAGCAGCCGCGGUAAUACGUAGGUGGCAAGCGUUAUCCGGAUUUAUUGGGCGUAAAGCGAGCGCAGGCGGUUUUUUAAGUCUGAUGUGAAAGCCCUCGGCUUAACCGAGGAAGUGCAUCGGAAACUGGGAAACUUGAGUGCAGAAGAGGACAGUGGAACUCCAUGUGUAGCGGUGAAAUGCGUAGAUAUAUGGAAGAACACCAGUGGCGAAGGCGGCUGUCUGGUCUGUAACUGACGCUGAGGCUCGAAAGCAUGGGUAGCGAACAGGAUUAGAUACC